GACAGAGGGUGCAAACGUUGUUCGGAAUUACUGGGCGUAAAGCGCGUGUAGGCGGUCUCGCAAGUCGGAUGUGAAAGCCCAGGGCUCAACCCUGGAAGUGCACUCGAUACUGCGAGGCUAGAGUCCCGGAGAGGAUGGUGGAACUCUCGGUGUAGAGGUGAAAUUCGUAGAUAUCGAGAAGAACACCGGUGGCGAAGGCGGCCAUCUGGACGGUGA
rnacentral:rRNA from 1 species